CUCCAAUCUUGAUGACAUUAUGCAUGUCAAGAGUAUUUCUUCUGGUGUUUCUUUACAUGAAAAUCUCAAAUUAGCUGAAUUCACAAACUAUGGAGGAACUCCUGAUGCAUGGAACAUGUCUGAAGCUGUGUGUUGAUGAGGUUGGGACUACAAAAAAUUGUGAUGAAGGAAUGCUCUUUUGAUGCAUCUAUUUGAAUUUGGGAGUAUGUUGGCUACUGAGCAAUCACAAACUCGUAUUUUUGAGGUUUCAAUCCCUUGUUAAGAUGAACCAUAUAUGUUUUGGUUCCAUCUAGAAAGGCACUGGUAAACUGUACCGCAGAUAAUGAUUGGCUUUCUUUAUGCCGACACCUUGAGUUCUACAGAGCAGGAAGUGAUUGCUUAGUUUAUAUUUCUCAGCAAACAAAAUACUUACAUAGACCAUAAUCUUUUUCAUCUUAACCAACUAUGAGCUACUCAAGUUUCAAAUUUCCUCGUCUGAAAGGUCCAAUAGCGUACUUUGGUAAUUUUUUACUGCAUUAGUUCUCAACUUUUGAUUAUACUCAACUUAUACUGAAUUACUGAUAAAUUAAUGCUUGGUCUAUUAGAUGCUUGCUUCUUUUUUUAACUGUUCUUUCCCACUUCUCAAUUUGGAGAUAUAUUUACCAUCCAUGCCUUAAAUAAAAUUGUGCACUUACUUUGUAUUUAUGCUUGCAUUUUCAGCAAAUGCUGCAUGUGUGUGCUGGCUGUUCUCCAAAUGUGAAAUUAACGUAGGUAAUAGUAGCUACUCCAGGGUGCUUCAUUUUGUAAAAUUAAGUAAGUUGACGAUGUGCUUUUGUUCUUCUGCUUUAAAGUUUAAGAUUUGUCUUAUGCAUUUGAACUUCAUGUUGUUUUGUUUCAAGAUUCUUAAGAUCUAAUAGUCAGAAAUUUUUCAUUAGUUCUGUAAAAGUUUGCGUAUAAAGUCAUUGUAAUAAGAUUGUCCGACAAAGAACCUGAGCAUAAAUUAUAUCAAUUCCUAAUUUAAGGCAAUAAAGAUGUAUAAUUGAAUGCAAUCAUAUGAGACUGGGGUUUUUUUUAAAAAAAAUUAUUUAUCAGACUGCAAUCUAAUCAGACUCGGACAUCUUAGAACUUUCACAGAUCUACCUGCUUAAUCUUUCUAGAUUAUUCGUGAGACCAGUAAAGGAUCAUUUGAAACUAAAGGCUUUCUAACAAUAUUGGGCAAUAUUUUGAGUUUGAGUUUUUUUUCUCUUGGCUAUUUAAUUGAAACAGAGCAUUGUAGAUGCAUGAGAUGUGGCUUUCAUUUUUAAGACUUAAGAGGUUGGAGGACAAGACUCCUUUAAGGCCUCACAACUCGAGAAAGUGACAAAACCUUAAAAUAGAACAGACUGGGAUUGGAGACCCUCUAAAUGCUCAUUGCCUUGGCCCACAAUGACUCCAAAUGGUGAUCCUAUCCGGCUAUCCCACAACAAUGAGACGGAAAGGAGCAACCUUAAAAUUUACACAAAUUCCUUCGUUGAAAAUAGGACUAAAUUGAUCGACAUAAAUUUAUUGAAACUGGAGCAGAUUUUUGGGCAUCAUUGAUCAGAAGACUUUGGAAUUAUUAGCAGUCUUUUUGAUCUUAAUUACUUAACUCAAAAUUACCAAAACAGAAUUAAGCAGAAGAUUCUGGACAUCUUUUAUUGACACAGUUUUAUCGUUGAUGGGAGCUGAUCUCAAUUCACGAUGAGAGGAAAUCCAUAAAUAAACUUUAAUUUUCUCUUUGUGACUUGGCCAAAAUGAACUGAGAUCUUUGAUAUGCGUGGAACUUUAGCAAGAACUUCGGAGAUGAUGACAGUAAAAUUUCCAGAUUUAAUAUUAUGUAGUUCCUUGUUGAAGCAUUUCAAAUUUUAAUCUAGCUCAAUCUUGUUGCAAAUACCCAUACCAUCCAUGAUGUUUAAGUUUUAUUGGAUAAGAUUUUCUGUCUACUUUAUUUAUUUUUUAAUGUUAAGAUCUAUCCUCGUUUCUAUCCUUCUAAACUAUAAUUGUCUACUCCUAUAUACAUCAUUUCCCUUCCCUUUGGAGGAUUUGCAGUUAUUACUUGGGUUUAGUAUUGAGGUUAUAUGGGAAUCCCUUUCAUACUUGUGGUAAUCCCAAUCUUAGGCAUAUUAAGCACUGCAGCUGACCCUUGUUUACCUGUAAUCCUCCAUUAUUAGGCUUAUUUUAGCCCUGCAUGUGGAUGUAGCCUAGCCUUGUGCUUGGGGAUAUAUCUAGGCUUUUACAGUGCCAAACUGCCAAUUAAACUUUCAUUGUUACAUUAACUCUUUCUUACAGUUGUGAUGUAUUGCUCUUAUUGCAGAUUCUUGUUUUUCACAUUUGUUUUCUCCUGUGAGAAAUCUUCCUUGUACGGUGUAUGCCAGACUUCGGAACAACUGACUAUCCAUUAUGACCCAAGCCCAAGGCUUGUAAAUUAUAUAACCCAACCUAGCAAGAUAUAUUCUCAACCUGGGCCAGCUGCAGGACCUUUUGAUGCUCAUCAUGGCAUUGUAAGCAGCAUGCAAAGUGUAUAAAAGGUAAUUUCGGAGCUUUUGCUGUUAGUUAUUUGUAGGAUAAAUGCUGAAGAAAAUGUAGAAGCAGAAUUAAUAUCAGAAGAUGAACCCCGGCCACUGUUGUGUUGAGUAAUAGUAAAUGUUGGUUCCAUAAUAAGAAUUUUUCUAAUAAAAAUUUAGAAAAGUAAAUUAAAAUUUUAUUUGCAUAAUUCACGUUUAGAUAUGAAUCUUUACUUAAAAGAGUUAAACUUGUGUUACUGUUAUGAUUUACUUG
rnacentral:lncRNA from 1 species